rnacentral:tRNA from 1 species
GCACCCGUGGUGGAACUGGCAGACACGCAAGGUUCAGGUCCUUGUGCUCGUUAAGGGCGUGGGGGUUCGAAUCCCUCCGGGUGCA